UCAUAAAAGAGAUAAGAUUGGAUGGAUUGUCAGAUAUGGAGAAAAAGCAGGCUGCUGCACUAUUUUCUACGCCUAAGGAAAAGUGAUGACUCAUCACCCAUAUCAUAAUUACCAUGUACGGGUCAUCAUACUAGAUAAUAAGUGGGAACCACAGAUGUCUGUCGAUCAAGUCCAUACCUCCAGGACUGCAGAAUCGGGAGACAAAGAAAAUAAAGAUCAAAAUGCACAGAGAACAAUACUGAUUUUCAUUAUUGAAAUAUUCAAAUGGUGACCGAGUUGUCAAAUUCAUCAAAAAAUAUAUAUAUAUUGACUGUGACACAGCUUUAUUGAGACUGCCAAAAGUCCCGUGGGAAUAGAGGAUAAAAUCCCCUGCAGCUUCAACCAUUGGAUUAGAAGGAAAUUUCUAAAUGAAACUUGCUAAUGAAGACAACACUUUGCUGAGGAAAUCAUGGGAAAUUCAUAGUGUUUGGCAGCUGAUACAACUAACUUGAAAUAAAUCAUUUGUG